rnacentral:rRNA from 1 species
CAGAGGAAGUUUUCGGAUGGAAUCGGUAUAACUUAGUGGCGGACGGGUGAGUAACGCGUGGGAAACCUGCCCUGUACCGGGGGAUAACACUUAGAAAUAGGUGCUAAUACCGCAUAAGCGCACGGAACCGCAUGGUUGUGUGUGAAAAACUCCGGUGGUACAGGAUGGUCCCGCGUCUGAUUAGCCAGUUGGCAGGGUAACGGCCUACCAAAGCGACGAUCAGUAGCCGGCCUGAGAGGGUGAACGGCCACAUUGGGACUGAGACACGGCCCAAACUCCUACGGGAGGCAGCAGUGGGGAAUAUUGCACAAUGGGGGAAACCCUGAUGCAGCGACGCCGCGUGAGUGAAGAAGUAUUUCGGUAUGUAAAGCUCUAUCAGCAGGGAAGAAAAUGACGGUACCUGACUAAGAAGCCCCGGCUAACUACGUGCCAGCAGCCGCGGUAAUACGUAGGGGGCAAGCGUUAUCCGGAUUUACUGGGUGUAAAGGGAGCGUAGACGGCAUGGCAAGCCAGAUGUGAAAACCCAGGGCUCAACCUUGGGAUUGCAUUUGGAACUGCCAGGCUGGAGUGCAGGAGAGGUAAGCGGAAUUCCUAGUGUAGCGGUGAAAUGCGUAGAUAUUAGGAGGAACACCAGUGGCG